UGCUUCUCGUCUAUGUCUCUAUCGGUAGUGUAAACAUCACACUCAUACGUUUUCCCUUUUUAAACAUCAAUAAGCUGGAUUGAAUCUUGAUCCUUAUGCAAUACUCUAUUUGAAAAUGAUCUGGGAAAAUAUUGAAAAUAUCACAGAUAAUGUUAGAACACGCUAAUCAAUAUUUUGUAAGUAUGUCAAAAUAAAAUUGUUAUCAUACCAAAACAUUUUUUUUACCUUUAAAGCAGAUGUAAUAGUUUUUUUCCAACAUAAAGGUACAAGAUCAUCAUUGUCA
rnacentral:lncRNA from 1 species